GACGAACGCUGGCGGCGUGCUUAACACAUGCAAGUCGAACGGAAAGGCCCUGCUUGCAGGGUACUCGAGUGGCGAACGGGUGAGUAACACGUGGGUGAUCUGCCCUGCACUUCGGGAUAAGCCUGGGAAACUGGGUCUAAUACCGGAUAGGAGCCAUUUUUAGUGUGAUGGUUGGAAAGUUUUUUUCGGUGUAGGAUGAGCUCGCGGCCUAUCAGCUUGUUGGUGGGGUAAUGGCCUACCAAGGCGGCGACGGGUAGCCGGCCUGAGAGGGUGGACGGCCACAUUGGGACUGAGGUACGGCCCAGACUCCUACGGGAGGCAGCAGUGGGGAAUAUUGCACAAUGGGCGCAAGCCUGAUGCAGCGACGCCGCGUGGGGGAUGACGGCCUUCGGGUUGUAAACUCCUUUCGCUAGGGACGAAGCUUUUUGUGACGGUACCUAGAUAAGAAGCACCGGCUAACUACGUG
rnacentral:rRNA from 1 species